rnacentral:rRNA from 1 species
AUUGAACGCUGGCGGCAGGCCUAACACAUGCAAGUCGAACGGUAACAGGAAGCAGCUUGCUGCUUUGCUGACGAGUGGCGGACGGGUGAGUAAUGUCUGGGAAACUGCCUGAUGGAGGGGGAUAACUACUGGAAACGGUAGCUAAUACCGCAUAACGUCGCAAGACCAAAGAGGGGGACCUUCGGGCCUCUUGACAUCGGAUGUGCCCAGAUGGGAUUAGCUUGUUGGUGGGGUAACGGCUCACCAAGGCGACGAUCCCUAGCUGGUCUGAGAGGAUGACCAGCCACACUGGAACUGAGACACGGUCCAGACUCCUACGGGAGGCAGCAGUGGGGAAUAUUGCACAAUGGGCGCAAGCCUGAUGCAGCCAUGCCGCGUGUAUGAAGAAGGCCUUCGGGUUGUAAAGUACUUUCAGCGGGGAGGAAGGGAGUAAAGUUAAUACCUUUACUCAUUGACGUUACCCGCAGAAGAAGCACCGGCUAACUCCGUG